GAUGAACGCUGGCGGCGUGCCUAAUACAUGCAAGUCGAGCGAACGGACGAGAAGCUUGCUUCUCUGAUGUUAGCGGCGGACGGGUGAGUAACACGUGGAUAACCUACCUAUAAGACUGGGAUAACUUCGGGAAACCGUAGCUAAUACCGGAUAAUAUUUUGAACCGCAUGGUUCAAAAGUGAAAGACGGUCUUGCUGUCACUUAUAGAUGGAUCCGCGCUGCAUUAGCUAGUUGGUAAGGUAACGGCUUACCAAGGCAACGAUGCAUAGCCGACCUGAGAGGGUGAUCGGCCACACUGGAACUGAGACACGGUCCAGACUCCUACGGGAGGCAGCAGUAGGGAAUCUUCCGCAAUGGGCGAAAGCCUGACGGAGCAACGCCGCGUGAGUGAUGAAGGUCUUCGGAUCGUAAAACUCUGUUAUUAGGGAAGAACAAAUGUGUAAGUAACUGUGCACAUCUUGUCGGUACCUAAUCAGAAAGCCACGGCUAACUACGUG
rnacentral:rRNA from 1 species